rnacentral:lncRNA from 12 species
AUGUUGACCCUGGACGCGGCGCUGCUCUGGCUGCCCAGCGGCCACACCUACCUCUUCCGGGGGGACAAGUGCGUGCUGCGCCUGCCAGGACCUGCCUGCGCCUGCCGGGACCUGCUGGAGAUCCCCUGGGAAUUCUCUGGGAAUUUUUCGGGAUUUUUUCGGGAUUUUUAUGCAACUUCCUUGACCUUUCUGGGCUUUCUCAGGGACCUUUCUGGGCUCUUUUGCGACCUUUUCUCUGCCAGGACCUGUCUGAACCUGCCGGGACCUUCUAAGAAUCUCUGGGAAUUUUCUGGGAAUUUUUCGGGAUUUUUUCGGGAUUUUUUCGACAUUUUUUUAUGCACCUGCCAGGACCUUUUGCUGCUUUCUACACACCUGCAGGACCUCUCUGGGCACUUUAAGGAACUUUUCUGGGCUCUUUGCUGACCUUUGACCUUCCAGGACCUGUCUGAACCUGCCGGGACCUUCUGGCAAUCUCUGGGAAUUUUCUGGGAUUUUUGGGGGAUUUUUUGGGGAUUUUUUUCGGGGUUUUUAUGCACCUUCCAGGACCUCUCAGGGACUUUUCUGGGCUCACGGGUGACCUUUGACCUUCCAGGACCUCUCAGGAAUUUCUGUGGAUUUUUUGGGAAUUAUUUUGGGGAAUUUUUUGGGGAAUUUUUUUCUCUCUCAAACCCUUCCCAAAAUCCCCCUGAAAUAACCCAAAAAAAAUCCCCCAAAAUUCUGUAAAAUUUCUCCCAAAAUCGCCCAAAAUUUCCCAAAAUUCUCUCAAAAUCCCCAAAAUUUUCCCAAAUAUCUCCAAAUUUUUUCCCCAAAUCCUCCAAAAAUCCCUCUAAAAUCCCCUUGAAAUUCCCCAAAAUUUUCCCCAAAAAUUCCCCAAAACUCCCUGAAAAUCUCCCCAAAUCCCCAAAAUCCCCCAAAAUUCCCCAAAAUUUUCCCAAAAAUCCCUUAAAAAUCCCCUAAAUCCCCUAAAUUCCCCCAAAAUUCCGGGGGGGGGGGGGGGGGGGGGGGGGGGGGGGGGGGGGGG